rnacentral:rRNA from 1 species
UACGAAGGGUGCAAGCGUUACUCGGAAUUACUGGGCGUAAAGCGUGCGUAGGUGGUUUGUUAAGUCUGUUGUGAAAGCCCCGGGCUCAACCUGGGAAUGGCAAUGGAUACUGGCAGGCUAGAGUGCGGUAGAGGGUAGUGGAAUUCCGGUGUAGCGGUGAAAUGCGUAGAGAUCGGGAGGAACACCGGUGGCGAAGCGGCGGUCUGGGUCGAUACUGACGCUGAGGUGACGAAAGGCGUGGGGAGCAAACACGG